AGCAGAAUAAUCUCCAACCUAAUAUCAUCGGCAUAUCAGAAUUACCAGCCGACGAUCGUUCAUACCAAUAUUAUCGAUAUAUAAUCAGCUAGUCUACUUAACAUGCGAUAACCAUUAUGAACGGUUAUCGACUACGUGUCACGAUAAUUAGUGGGGAUUAAUGAUCCACUGACUCCACAAUUAUGGCCCGAUAAUUUAGCAUCAUAAAAAG
rnacentral:lncRNA from 1 species